AUGCCAUUUGCACUGUUCAACAAUCACUUCCAGAGCAUUAUUUUUGGAGGUGUCAUGUUGCGGGAUGAAAAGGAGGAUACAUUCAAGUGGGUUUUCCGUGAAUUCAUCAGGAUGGUUGGCGGCAAACACCCGCAAACAAUUUUAACCGAUCAGGCGCGAUCAAUGGAAUUGGCUAUAGAAGCAGAAAUGCCUAACACAACUCACAGGUGGUGUAAAUGGCAUGUGCUGAAGAAAGCAAAGGAAUCAAUGGGGGCUUUGUGGAGCAAGAAGUAUGAUUUCAAGAGUGAAUUCCACAAGCUGGUGCAUCACAUGGUCACAGAACAAGAGUUCGAAGAUGGCUGGUCUGCAAUGCUUGACAAAUAUUCACUUAGAAAGCAUCCAUAUCUGACUCAAAUAUAUGAGGUGCGGCAUAAAUGGGCAAAGCCGUAUUUCAGAGGUGUUUUUUGCGCGAAAAUGACCAGCACUCAACGUAGUGAAAGUGCCAAUCACAUGCUUAAGAGUUAUGUCCCACCCGGGUGCCCAAUGCAUUUGUUCAUUAAACAAUACGAGAAGGUUCAGUUCGAUAGGGACUCUGAGGAGAGUUUCUAG
rnacentral:rRNA from 1 species